UAACGUCGGGCCAAUGACGGGGCAACUUUUUGCCGACGUUGUUGUGAUUCUUGAUUUUUAAAUAAAAUAUAACAACAAAUACUCGUUUCGGUAUCGGUGUUCAGUAUCUCAAUCUGUAUCUGUGUCUGUAUCUGUAUCUAUAGCGCUAGUGCUGUGCUAGCCCUAGCUCUAGCUGUAUCUGCUGUUGCUGUGUUGCGUGCUUUUUGUUAUUUGUUUUAAUUUGACUUUGAUGUUUUUACAACCCUAGGGGUGCGGUGGUAGCCAUAAAAAAAGCAAAACAGAGCAGCGGAUCGUUCGUUUAUUUUUGUUUGCAUUUGGUAUCUCACAAAAAAAUAAAAAAAUAUUAUUCUGUCUAAUUAAGGCGAAAGUUUUCUACAUAGAACAUAUGUAAGUUCCACCUGUAGAGGUGGCACGAGCCUCGAACGUAACGGCAACAGAGCACCUUUGAUAACAACACACGCCCCUCCAUCCCUAUCGGCGCUACCAAAUCAGCUGAGAAGCACUAACUGCUCACAUACAAACUUAUGUAGAUUGUUUCCAUCCACUCUAUUUCGUUGCGUUUCGAAAUUCAAAUCGGGGAAAGGCAAUCAAAAGAAAACAGAACGCUUCACAUCGCUGGAGGUAACAACGCCUUUUAAUUUGAACUCUUUCCUGUAUGAAUGAAGAAGUGGGAAUAUAUUUGCAUAAGAAAUCAGAAUCCCCAGCAAAGCAAAUAAAAAAGGCAUAAAACGCAUCAACCUCCCCGAUCUUUUCAUAAAGAUUCACUUUCAGCUGGAGCAGCAUCCCGAGAUCAACAGCCGGGAUUGGGAAUGGGCAAGGGAAUGCUAAAUGUUACUUGGUCUUGGUCUUGGUCUUCUUGGACUGCCCAUCGACACACUCCAAUUUCGCCAGGCAUUUAUGCAAAUAUUUAGUGGAAGUGCAGCAACAUGUUUCUGGUGUCCAAACAUCGGCGGGCCUGCUGUUGCUGUCUUUAGCUUUUGGCAUCCACAUAUUUGCGGUUAGUUUAUUGACCGAGUUCCAGCCAGUAACCGGUUCUCCUGCAACGAAAAUCGUACCAGGAAUAAUAAUACCAAGACCGCACGCCAUCGUUUCAUUAGCCGCAGACUGGGAGCAGGCCAGGCCAAAAGGCCCAUUCUCAGGCCAAGGCUCAGGCUCAAACUCUGGCUCAGGCAUUGCAGUUAAUUUCGCCACAUUGUCACAUACUUUUGCCACCCCGAGGGGCGUUCGCAACCGAGUCGGAGUCGGAGUCGAACUUGAGCUGGAGAAGAUUUCCGUUCACUGCGGUUUUGGCUAACCAAUUAUCAGCGAUUCCAUGACACUUUGCCCGACGAUGACUUGACAUUUGGCAGCGACUGUGAGAUAAAAAAGCACAUAAAGUAAGUCAAAGAUAAAAUAAACUUUUAAACUGUAGUUGUACCUUACACAUAAAAAAAUAGAGAAAUUGCACUUAUUAAUGCAGUUAUUAACCAUCUUGAAAAAAUAUAAUUCAAUUUUUUAAAGCUUAAAAAGUGUAUGCGCCAAUAAAAAAAAAAUUC